UUUCUGUAAAGUUCAAAGUUAAGUCAUGUAUGGAAAGUGUUCAGUGCAGUAUUGCACCCACAGGGAGUCUUUGCAAGUGGUAAUGGUGAGUGGUGAUAACGCAGGUGUGAAGAAAGUAACUGACAACACGGCGUCAGUCAGGCUCUCCUGCCCCACUCUCUCACAGCCUCAUAACUUCUUCUGUUUUGUAAACAGUGAUAUUGCUGACCUUGGUAGCACUGCGCCUGUGCGCCCACUUGGCCAUGGGCCACUUUUGUCUGCCUUAGUAUAUCAGAAGUCUUUGAAGACUCCCAGUUGCUGCUGCCCAGAGAGAGUAAACAUGUCUGCAGUCCCCACAGCUCCUUGAGUCUUCUUUCAUUUUCCUGGGUCGCACCUUAUCUACCCUGGGAUCAGUGAACAGUGUGACCGGCAAGACAGCAGGAGUACCAGGUGGAUCUGUGGCCACUGAGGGGCCCUGAUUGGAGUAGCGAACUUCCUGUUAUCUCUGGCUGUCUGGUUGGGUCUCCUGUAUGCCUUAGGGCUGUAAUUGUCUCUUGUCAUCUCUGUUCAUAGGAUCCGUAGGGGAUCUGACCUUCCCUAAAGAUGAGCCAGCUCUAAAUGCACCUGGGGUGUGAAAUCUGAGAAAUUAUGAAAAAAGGCAGCACCAUGAAAUCACCCAGGAUUCAGGAAAUCCUGGGCCUAUUUGUAUCCCUCAGCCUAUGUGACCAUGGAUUGUUUUUGAAGAAUGACCAAGCUUGUGAAAAAAAUGAAAGGAAUCAAGAAGAAAUAGCUGAACCACCUUAAAAUGAUCCAACCCUUCCUACCAUCCCUCUCCUCAUGGAAGUCACAAUCGUCUUUUGAAACAGAAGACAGAUCAUAACCUAUCCUUCCUUAAAAAUCCUCCCACGGCAUCCCACAGGAUUUAGGAUACAAUUUGAACUUGAGCCUCACCAUAGCCUUCAAGGUCCUGCAUGAUCCAGCCUCUGCACACCUCUCCAACCUGCUCUUGAGCCAGCUCAUCUGUGAUCUGGCUCACUGCCCUUCUAUCUGGCAUGCAAGCAAGCUAAGCCUGUGCUUUUCUCAGAGCCUGUGUACCUGCUGGUCCUGCUGCCUGCAGACCACCCUCAUUUCUGAAGUGGGAAUGUUCCCAUCUAGUCGCUCUGCUUCACUUCUCCUUGUUUGAUGAUCUUCAGAGUAUUUCUCACCUUCUGAAAUUGUCUCCUUUGUUCAUUUGUUUAAUGUCUGUCUUCCCCUCAAUGUUAGCUUCAUGAGAGAGGACUCUCAUCUCUCUAACCCACCACUGAAUGCCCAGCACCUGGCAAAAUAUCUGGCUGCUAACAGGUGCCCCAUCUAGUUAACCUUUGAAUAACAUGGGUUUGACUUCCUGGGUCCAUGCACCCACAAUUUUUUUCCUAUAGUAUUACACAAUCUUCAGUUGGUGGAGUGAAUAUGGAAGAACCACAUGUAUGGAGGGCCAGCUAUAAGUUAUAUGCAAAUUUUCUACUGCACCCCUAACUCCCACACUGUCUGAGGGUCAACUGUAUGUAUUUUUGAAUGACUAACAGAA
ensembl:lncRNA